rnacentral:rRNA from 1 species
CCUACGGGGGGCUGCAGUGGGGAAUAUUGGACAAUGGGCGAAAGCCUGAUCCAGCCAUGCCGCGUGUGUGAAGAAGGCCUUCGGGUUGUAAAGCACUUUCAGUGGGGAAGAAAGCCUUGGGGCUAAUACCCUCGAGGAAGGACAUCACCCACAGAAGAAGCACCGGCUAACUCCGUGCCAGCAGCCGCGGUAAUACGGAGGGUGCGAGCGUUAAUCGGAAUUACUGGGCAUAAAGCGCGCGUAGGCGGUCUGAUAAGCCGGUUGUGAAAGCCCCGGGCUCAACCUGGGAACGGCAUCCGGAACUGUCAGGCUAGAGUGCAGGAGAGGAAGGUAGAAUUCCCGGUGUAGCGGUGAAAUGCGUAGAGAUCGGGAGGAAUACCAGUGGCGAAGGCGGCCUUCUGGACUGACACUGACGCUGAGGUGCGAAAGCGUGGGUAGCAAACAGGAUUAGAUACCCCAGUAGUC